GGGUUGAAAUCUAUAGAUAUCAGGAAGAACAUCUGUUCCGAAGGCGGCCUUCUGGCAGUUAACUGACGCUCAUGUACGAAAGUUAGGGUAGCAAACAGGAUUAGAGACCCUGGUAGUCCUAACUGUAAACGUUGUAUACUAGGUGAUUGGAGUAUUGAUCCUCUGACUGCCGCAGCUAACGCAUGAAGUAUACCGCCUGGGGAGUAUACCGGCAACGGUGAAAAUCAAAGGAAUUGACGGGGGCCCGCACAAGCACUGGAGCAUGUUGUUUAAUUCGAUGAUACGCGAGUAACCUUACCAGGUCUUGACAUAUACUCGAAUACCAUAGAAAUAUGGUAGCUCUUCGGAGCGGGUAUACAGGUGCUGCAUGGUUGUUGUCAGUUCGUACAUGUGAGGUGAUUAGGUUAAGUCUCGUGACUGAGCGCAACCCUUGUCCUUUGUUGCUUACAGUUCGGCUGAGCACUCUAAGGAGACUGUCGGUGACAAAUCGGAGGAAGGUGUGGCGACGACGUCAAAUCAUCACGGCCUUUAUGACCUGGGUAUACAAACGUGCUACAAUGGGUGGUACCAAGAGUCGCAAGACCGCAAGGUGGAGCUAAUUUCAUAAACCAUCCUCAUGUUCGGAUUGGAGUCUGAACUCUGACUCCAUGAAGCUGGAAUUGGUAGUAAUCGCACAUCAUUAUGGUCCGGCGAUACGUUCCCGGACAUUGACACACCGCCCGUCACAUCACCC
rnacentral:rRNA from 1 species